CCCUGAUGGGCCCUGACGAGAGUGAAACCACAGCGGGAUGGUGGAGCAGGAGAGAACAUUCCUAGGAGAGAACAAAAGCAGCUGGGGCCAACUUGAAAAGGAAACUGCACGCAGACCUCCUUGGGGAUAAGAGCACAGUGGUCGGGAGGAGGAAGUGCAGCCUGGCCAGGGAGAACGAGUACAGCUCAAUGUGGACCGGUCAAGUGUAACUCAGCAGGCUACAUGUGGGUUCACGGCACCAGAAUGGCCAGCAGAGCUCUCCAUGGAGGGACCAGCGAGAACCGAGCCAGGGGAAUGAACAAGUUUGCAAGAGCAAAUAGAAGGAGCUUCAAAUUGAGGACAGACUGUUAGGAGUCAAGGGGACUGGGGGUGAAAACAAUCAGCUGGAGAUGUAUUGUGCGGGCUCUUGAAUGCCAGAGUGCAGUGUUUAUAAUUACUGAGGGGUUUUCUAAUAUUCUCUUCCAGGCCUGCAUGAGGUCUCCCCUUGAGCCCUUUUCCCGGGGAUCUGGUGAUAGUCACAUCAGAAGUCCACCUAUGAAUGGGUUAAAAUCGCUUCCUUUGCAACACACCAUCUUUUACUUCGUUUCAUUUCCCCUAAUUUAUUAGCUUUUUGUCACAAUGACCAGGGAAAUCCAUGUAACCUUGUGUCUCGCAGAGAAAUCUGCCUGUAGGCCAGCCUAAUGCACACCUGCCUGGCAAGGACUGUGCCCAGCCCUUUCCUCUCAUCUUUUCCAUUGGCCGAAGCCAUUUUUUCACUUCGUCGUCUGUGGAGAUUGUUUCUGCACGCAUUCUCCCCUGCGGGCUUUCUGUGGUAUGGAGAAGUACUUCCAGUCUCUAAGGCAGUUUCUGCUGGGUAAUGAGGUUUCUCGGAGAGGCAGAAUGACAUGUAGAAAGUAAAACCUGAACGACGUUUCCAGCCACUUGAAAUCAUCAGUUGAAUUUGGAGCCGCUUUGCUAUACAGCUCACAGACAGUUUCCUUCUACUCUUUUUUAAAUAUGAUUAUCUAUGCAAGACAAUUGUGCAUCCGGGAAUCAAGAUUACAGCUUUCUUCUCAUUUCAACGAUUUUUUUUUUUUUACAAGGAAAGGAGCCCUAUAAAAAUGAUAAAUUAGACAAGAUGAAGAGUUACUGAGAAAUUCUAUGAACAUUGGCAAAACUACCUAUAAAAUUAAGCCAAAAGAAGUCUGUCAAAGAUAUCUUGGAAGGGGCAACAAAUUCUACGUUAAGAAAGUAUUUUGAUGCUUAAAAGGAAGAAUUCCUCAUUUGUCCUUUUUAAAACAAAUUUUAUAUAGCAUGUAUUGAAAAUCAUGCACAAAUCUAAAGAAUACAGUUCAACAAAUUAUUAUAAAAUAAAAACUUAUGAAACCACAAAGGAAGUGAAGACACAAACAUUACCGAUAGAACAAAAACCUCCCUCUUGUCCUCCCCCAAACAUUAUCCCUCUCUCUUUCCCCAUCAUUAUUCUCCGCUCCCACAUCACUACUGCCUCUUAACACCCAAUAUUCUGCCUGUAUUUGAACUUUGUAUAAACAGCUUCUUACGUUCAAUAGUAUCUGUGAGAUCCAUCUAUGUUGCUGAGGGCCAUUAUAGUUCAUUAAAUUGCAUCAAUUUUUCAUAUUCAUUUAGAUAUUCCACAAUGUUUCAUCCUUUCCACUACCGAUGAACAGGUGGGGUUUUUUCCUCCUGGUUUUUUGUCAUUAUAAUUAAUUCUGCUACAAAAAAAGCCUUAUAUGUAUCUUGGUGCACAUUUGUACAUACAUCUUUUGGGUGUGUGCCCAGGAUGAAGGAACUGGGUCAUAUUUAGUAAAUCAUAUCAAACGUAUUUCUCAAAUGUUUGUAUCAAUUUACAUUCUUAUUAUUAGUGUUUAGGAGUUACAGUUGUGUCAUACCUUUGUCAGCACUUGGUAUUGACCGUUUCUUAAUUUUAGCCAUUUUAGUAGUGUAUAGAGAUACCUCAUUAUAGUUUUAAUUUGUAUUCCCUGAUUAUUAAUAAUUCAUCACAUUUUCAUAUACUUAUUAGCCCUUUGGAUAUUUUAUUUGUAAGACACAUGUUCAAAUUUCUUGCUGACUGAGUCAGAUAUUUUUA